GGUACACGCUAUUGUACCACCUCGACGUGCGAUAGGUGAAGCGAUUUGGAAAGCGAACAGGUUUACUUCUGGCUAAUCAAUUGCGACGUAAGGCUGUUACUAAGGUUUGGAACCUAGUUUGGUUCAAUUACCGGCGUUUCAUACCAGUGCUCGGUAACACCAAAGUUAGCGGUUAGUGGUUCUAUCACACGUGCACCAAAACGAUUGACUAGUAGUCAGUAAAAAUCCGGAAAAAAAUUGACAAAUACCGACGAUCCCGUCGGUGCGGCUGGUCGACGUUACUGCAACGUUACGGCACGGCUCAGAGGGGAGCCUAUUUUGUCAUUAGCGAUACAGCGGUAAAUUGUUUUUCCCAAACGAUUGGAUUCUGGUGCUUGGUACGGUAGAGUGGUGAUAGACGAGGGUCGAAGGAUUUGGUUGAUACGUGCUGGAAGCGUAGAGGCCAUGGCGCACCGCAAUCAACUUAAGCUUAUGAAGGAUGGUUCACAAUGGCAACGGCCAAACGUUGUCAUCACACGUAGCAUUCCCGACAGUACAACGAAUAACGGACAAACGGACUUGAAUAUGAGACACGAUGUUUACGAAGAAGGCUCA